CCUACGGGUGGCAGCAGUGGGGAAUAUUGGACAAUGGGGGGAACCCUGAUCCAGCCAUGCCGCGUGUGUGAAGAAGGCCCUCGGGUUGUAAAGCACUUUCAGUGAGGAAGAACGCCUGGUGGUUAAUACCCAUCAGGAAAGACAUCACUCACAGAAGAAGCACCGGCUAACUCCGUGCCAGCAGCCGCGGUAAUACGGAGGGUGCGAGCGUUAAUCGGAAUUACUGGACGUAAAGCGCGCGUAGGUGGCUUGAUAAGCCGGUUGUGAAAGCCCCGGGCUCAACCUGGGAACGGCAUCCGGAACUGUCAAGCUAGAGUGCAGGAGAGGAAGGUAGAAUUCCCGGUGUAGCGGUGAAAUGCGUAGAGAUCGGGAGGAAUACCAGUGGCGAAGGCGGCCUUCUGGACUGACACUGACACUGAGGUGCGAAAGCGUGGGUAGCAAACAGGAUUAGAUACCCUGGUAGUC
rnacentral:rRNA from 1 species